AAUUCAGAGGUGGAUCAUGGUUCAGAACGAACGCUGGCGGCAAGCUUAACACAUGCAAGUCGAACGGACCGUACACGCAGCUUGCUGCGUGUAUGGUUAGUGGCAGACGCGUGAGUAAUGCAUAGGAAUCUGCCUAGUAGUAUAGGAUAGCCACUAGAAAUGGUGGGUAAUACUGUAUAAUCCCUGCGGGGGAAAGAUUUAUCGCUACUAGAUGAGCCUAUGUCAGAUUAGCUAGUUGGUGGGGUAAUGGCCCACCAAGGCUGUGAUCUGUAGCUGGUCUGAGAGGAUGAUCAGCCACACUGGAACUGAGACACGGUCCAGACUCCUACGGGAGGCAGCAGUGGGGAAUAUUGGACAAUGGGCGCAAGCCUGAUCCAGCUAUGCCGCGUGAGUGAGGAAAGCCUUAGGGUUGUAAAACUCGUUCAGUGAAAUAGAUAAU
rnacentral:rRNA from 1 species